UACAGAGGUCUCAAGCGUUGUUCGGAUUCAUUGGGCGUAAAGGGUGCGUAGGCGGCGCGGUAAGUCGGGGGUGAAAUCUCGGAGCUUAACUCCGAAACUGCAUUCGAUACUGCCGUGCUUGAGGACUGGAGAGGAGACUGGAAUUUACGGUGUAGCGGUGAAAUGCGUAGAUAUCGUAAGGAAGACCAGUGGCGAAGGCGGGUCUCUGGACAGUUACUGACGCUGAGGCACGAAGGUCAGGGGAGCAAACGGG
rnacentral:rRNA from 1 species